AGCAAAAAUAAUGAGAGAAUGUAAUUGGGUGAUAAAUACAGUUAGUAAUCAAUAACAAUUUAUUAUGUGCCCUUUUUGUGUCCAUCUUCAACAAAAUUGUGAAGCCUAGUAGCUUCUACUCGCUCUGAUUUGAAGAUUUCUUCCAUGCUAACACAUGAAGCCCAUUUACCAAAACAUAUUGUUGUGACAUGGUUGGUGGUCCUCCAUUAUGCGAUGUGAUGAUUCUGGUCUCCGUGCGACCAUGGUUGGUGACGUUGUUGCAUAUCUCCGUGAGCCACUUCUGCUCCUUGCUCUGUUCAAAAGGUUUUUUCAGCGCAAACAAGUGAAGCCCAAUUGCCAACGUUGAACGUUCUUGGUAUUUUUUGUUGUUUUCGUGUCACUACGGUACACUUUCUCUUGGCUCUUCUUUCAUUUCUAACUCCUUCUAUCGAAACCAAUUGCAUCCUUCGAGACGUGAACACACUUCGAAUGUCUGUCUUUUUGUCUCAUGAUUUGCUAUAUCAUUUUGUAAUUACUAGGUAACGAUGUUAAACCAAGGUAAGAAGUAAAGAUUGAAUGUAGCUUUUUCAAUUUGGGUUCUUCAAGGAUUUGGGAGGGGAGUUUGAGUCUACACUCGAGAAAGGCAAGGGGGUUUCAUUGUUUAUUGAUUAGCUCAAUCGGAAACUAAACUCCAUGUUAAAUUUUAUGCUCUAAGUUCUCAAAUCCUUUCUGGGUAUUAUGAUUUAUUGCUUAUGAGUUUACAUACAAAAAAAAAAUUGUUAAAUCAUGGAAUCCUCAUAUUUUGGUGUGAGAAUGUAAUUUGAUAUGAAUUUGUUUGUAGAGAUAACUGAAUUAAGCCUCAUUUCCACUUAUUGUUAUGCAUUGGAUUAUGGUGUUGCAACAAAUAGCAUAAUGCUCCUUUUUCUGGUCUUAUAAUUAUGUUUUUUUUUAUGAUCACAAGUUCUGUUUUAUGGAGUUGCAACAAAUAGUAUAAAUGUGGUUUUGGUACCUUCAAUGUCAAUUUUUUAAAUAUCAGUUCAAUGAGCUUGAUUUUCCUUUCACGUUUGAAUAUUAUGUUACUAAUUUUUAAAAUAUGAAUAAAUGUUAUCUUAUUUCAAUAUCUUUGGAUUUGAUUAUGCAUAUUUUCUUUUUAAGUUAUUUUUUGGAUUUGAUUGCACAUAUUUUCUUCUAUCAUGUGUACUAUUUUUAUUCUUCAAAUUUAAUUGAACUAUUGUCUUGAUUGACCUUUACUUUGUAUUUUUGGUUCUUCAAUUCAUUGUUUUCUUGCAAGGAUCUUUUCAUAGAUGUGUUGAAUUCAAUCAAAAUAGGGUGCUAAGUUAUGAAGACAUAAGCAUUAUAUUUGCAAUGGUAGGCUAUCGAGGAUGCAUCUAUCAAGGGGAGAAGGGGAUACUAUUGAAUUGAUAAAAGAAGAUACAUUAGACUCAACAUGGUUUGGUGAUUAGAGACCGAAGAAAUUGUUGCAGCUAAAAGAGGGUACCUUCUCUGCUCAAAACUAGAUCAAAGUCUCUCUAAUUAAUUGAAGAAGGGCCGAACCAUGGAGAUCUUCAACAACUUUGAGUUCUACUAUCUUUCUACCUAUUUCUCGAUUGUUCCUUCCUUGAGAAGUAAAAACUUUGUUUAGUGUUCCUUUCUUAUUUUUUUCUUCAGAAUGUGAUUCAACUUUGAUCUAACAAUGACAUUGUUUGAUUUAAAA